GAUGUGUGAAAACUGAUAUUAUUAAAAUUUUCAAGAAACAAUCACUUGUUUACUUUGAACUUGUCGUUUAUUUUCCGCCUUUCUUUUUUGAAUUGCAUUAUUUAGAUAUUAUAUAUAUAUAUAUUUUCAACGGCGUGGCACGCUACUAUUGGAUGACCACCGGCGUACUUGGGAUAGUGUGUUUUAUAAUCCUUCCCUGCUAACAAACCACGCCAAUAAUCUCUCGUUUGUUAUCGAAUGUAACUGACAUGUCUCUGAGCUCCAGCGCUGUAGUCUCCCUAGCUUCGCUGGAGGACCAUUCUCGUGUAUCGGAAGCGAUGAUCACCGGAGAUUAUAGCGACUGCUACACGUCUUUACCGUCUUCAAUUGCUCAGACCUUUCCUUUCUCAUCUGGAAAUCCUAGGAUAGAAGAGACGCGAGGAGUCAUGCGCCUCUUCUCCAAUGACGACGUUUCCGGUCUUCCUGAAGACAAUUGUUGUGUGCUUUUUAUAGUUGAUAUACAGUUCACUGGUUAUAGCGGUUCACUUGACACUCAGCCUUCCCCAGCAAGCACAACUGAGCAGCCUUCAUGUCCAGUUUGUCUUGAGAAAUUAGACUAAGACAUGGGUGGAAUUCUCACAACUAUCUGUAAUCAAUCAUUCAUUUUACUGCUCCUGCAUUUCAAAAUGGGAAGAUUCUUCUUGUCCAGCAAGUGAUUAUGACUGUUUUUGUACUUCAUGUUCAUUGCAAUGGUGCUAUAAAAUACUAUGAGAAUGAUUUCAUGGCUUAUAUAAUUUUAAUUAGACCCUUCCGUUUGAUGCCACGUGUUCUGUGGCAAAAUAUUGUGGGCUUUGCAUGACAACUGAAAUUACUUGUUUUGUUGCCUACAAGGCUGCAACUACAAAAUAUUAGAGUAUCCAGGCUAAAAUAAUCAGCAAAUAUCUGAAAGAAAUAUAAACUAGGUUUUUGUUGAAAUUAAACUGACAUACUAAGUGCAUGUCUUCAUUUUAUGUUUGCCGAUACUGCCAGCAACAACCUGAAAAAUCAAUAUGUUUUGUAUGUCAAACUUCUGAAAAUCUAUGGCUUUGUGUUAUUUGUGGUUUUGUUGGCUAUGGGAGGUAUACAGGAGGACUUGCCACAAGCAUUGGAAAGAAACACAAUAUUGCUAUUCACUUGAACUAGAAACAUAGUGCAUUUGAGAUUAUGUUGGUGACAACUAUGUUCAUCGGUUGAUUCAAUAAAAAACUGAUGAAAAACUAAUUGAAUUGAAUUCCCAUUGUGUGCAUGCUAAUGAUGGUUGUAGAAGUUGUGACUGUGUAAACUCUGGAAUUAGUGAAGCUCUUUUGAACAACAAGGUUGAAGCGGUAAUAUUUUCUACAUUCUACGGGUAAAGUUCUUGUAAUUUCAUUGUUUCGCUGUCCUAUGUUUUGCAAUAAUUCGCUUGGAAUUAUUUGCAGAUGGUUAAUGCUCCUAGCCACCUAACUUUUGAACCAAAAACUAGUUUAAGUGUUUUCCAUUUUCCACGAUCGGAUGAGUUAGUGGUGGAGCCUGGUUUUGAGCUUUAGCUUGUUUUUUUCACUGUGACAUAAUCAUCAUUUCUCCUAUGGCUGUGCUAAACUACUAUUAUAAACAAAUAAGAGAUAUACACUAUCCUACAAUACAUAGAUACAGUUUCAGUUUUUGAAUGAAUGCAUAUGUUCUUUUGAAAUCAUUUCGAGACUUUGCUUCAUGAAGUUAAAGAAGAAACUGAAAGGGAAAUUUCAAAAGCAGUUAAGAAGGCUGUUACACACAAGUUGCA